GACGAACGCUGGCGGCGUGCUUAACACAUGCAAGUCGAACGGAAAGGCCCUGCGUGUUUGGGGUUCUCGAGUGGCGAACGGGUGAGGAACACGUGAGUAACCUGCCCUUGACUUUGGGAUAACUUCAGGAAACUGGGGCUAAUACCGUAUAGGAGCUCCUGCUGCAUGGUGGGGGUGGGAAAGUUUCGGCGGGUGGGGAUGGACUCGCGGCUGAUCAGCUUGUUGGUUGGGGAGUGGCUUACCAAGGCUUUGACGGGUAGCCGGCCUGAGAGGGUGACCGGCCACAUUGGUCCUGAGAUACGGACCAGACUCCUACGGGAGGCAGCAGUGGGGAAUCUUGCACAAUGGGCGGAAGCCUGUUGCAGAAACGCCGCGUGCGGGAUGACGGUCUUCGGGUUGUAAAAAGCUUUCGCCUAUGACGAAGCGGGAGUGACGGUAAUGGGUGAAGAAGCACCGGCUAACUACGUG
rnacentral:rRNA from 1 species